rnacentral:rRNA from 1 species
GUCCAUGCCGUAAACGAUGAUUACUAGGUGUUGGGGGAUUGACCCCCUCAGUGCCGCAGUUAACACAAUAAGUAAUCCACCUGGGGAGUACGACCGCAAGGUUGAAACUCAAAGGAAUUGACGGGGGCCCGCACAAGCAGUGGAGUAUGUGGUUUAAUUCGAAGCAACGCGAAGAACCUUACCAGGUCUUGACAUCCGAUGCAUAGCACAGAGAUGUGUGAAAUCCUUCGGGACAUCGAGACAGGUGGUGCAUGGUUGUCGU